UGAGCUUGAUCCUGGCUCAGGACGAACGCUGGCGGCGUGCCUAAUACAUGCAAGUCGAGCGGACUAAUGGGAGCUUGCUCCCUGAGGUCAGCGGCGGACGGGUGAGUAACACGUGGGCAACCUGCCUGUAAGACUGGGAUAACUCCGGGAAACCGGGGCUAAUACCGGAUAAUCCGUUCCACCUCAUGGUGGAGCGGUAAAAGAUGGCCUCUGGCUAUCACUUACAGAUGGGCCCGCGGCGCAUUAGCUAGUUGGUAAGGUAACGGCUUACCAAGGCGACGAUGCGUAGCCGACCUGAGAGGGUGAUCGGCCACACUGGGACUGAGACACGGCCCAGACUCCUACGGGAGGCAGCAGUAGGGAAUCUUCCGCAAUGGACGAAAGUCUGACGGAGCAACGCCGCGUGAGUGAUGAAGGUUUUCGGAUCGUAAAGCUCUGUUGUUAGGGAAGAACAAGUGCCGUUUGAAUAAGGCGGCACCUUGACGGUACCUAACCAGAAA
rnacentral:rRNA from 1 species